ACCCACUUAAAUUUUUGCCAUAACAAAAAGUACUGCUAAGAAUAUUUUUGUACAUACACUUCCUUUCUGUUUUCCUUUCAUCCUGUUGGUACCAGUGCUGUCCAUUCAUUUUUUGGAUAGAGUUUCAAAUUGCCUUUCAGUGUAAUAGGGAGACUAACCAAUGAGAGCUUGGUCAUUAGCUCAUAUUCAACUUGCUCUUUCUUGGUGAGUUAGAGCACAUGCACAGAUAUUCUCUAUCUAUCUUCAAUCAAACAAGGGGAACUUUGGGAGGUUCUUUCUUCCUUUCUUCCUUCCUUCCUUCCUUCCUUUCUUCCUUCCUUCCUUCCUUCCUUCCUUUCUUUCUUCCUUCCUUUCUUUCUUUCUUUCUUUCUUUCUUUCUUUCUUUCUUUCUUUCUUUCUUCUUCCUUUCUUUCUUCCUUUCUUCCUUCCUUCCUUUCUCUCUUUCUUUCUUCCUUUCUUUCUUCCUUUCUUCCUUCCUUCCUUCCUUCCUUCCUUCCUUUCUCUCUUUCUUUCCUACUUUCUUUCUUUCUUUCCUUCUUUCUUUCUUUCUUUCUUUCCUUCUUUCUCUCUCUCUCUUCCUUUCUUUCUUUCCUUCUUUCCUUCCUUUCUUCUACCCUUCUUUCUUUCUUUCUUUCUUUCUUUCUUUCUUUCUUUCUUUCUUUCUUUCUUUCUUUCUUUCUUUCUUUCUUUCUUCUUUCCUUUUUUCUUUUCCCUUUCUUUUUUCUCUUUUCUUCAUCGUCGUCUUCAUCUUCUUCUCCUUUUCUUUCUCCUUCUCCUCUUUAAAAAACUUUAUCUUCCAUCUUAAAAUCAAUACUGUUUAUUAGCUCCAAGGCAGAAGAGUAGAAAGGGCUAGGCAACUGGAGUCAAGAAACUUGCUCAGGAUAACACAGCAAGGAAGUAUCCAACGUUAGAUUUGAACCUAGGACCUCCCAUCUCUGGGCCUGGCUCUACAAUUCAUUGAGUUACCUCUCUGCCCACUCCACCCCCCUUACUGCUCUUCUGCCUUGGAACAGAUUCUUGAUAUUGAUUCCAAGACAGAAGGUAAAGGUUAAAAAAGAAAAGAAAAGAAAAGAAAAAGCUUACCUCACUUUCUUUUUCUCAGUAGCAGAAGGGCAGUCUGACUGCCCUAAGCUUGGACUUGACGAUGCUUUUUCAUGCCCCAGUGACCACAGGCCUUCUCCCCCAGGGGAUGUCCUCAUGGGCACCUCAGACCAUGGCACCAGCCGAUUCCACGGUGCCAGCCGUGCGAAGCCAACCUCCUCCCCCUCCCUGCCUUGACACCAACUGUAUUCAAGGGCCACUGAAGUCUCACCCACUGUAUUCAAGAGCUUCACUAACUGUAUUCAAGGCCAUUGAAGGUUGGGACUGGGUACCAAUAAGCCUUCGAGUCCACUGGGAAGUCAACUUUCUAGGGAAAAACCUUCCCAACAGUAUUGCCCUCCCAGGUUGUAAUCCCUGUUUAUUCCUCUGCCUUCCUGAUCUCAGCUGACAGAAAGGAGGCUUUAGCUUAAGGAGAGGGCUGUUUCUAUGAGUGGUGGGGAGGUAUCUUCUUCUUCAGCAGCAACUCAGGCAUUCAAGGAAGGCCCUGGCACUCUGGUCUCUGUGACCAGAAAGGCCCCAAGGCCCUCUGAUAGUCAAUCAGCAGCUUUGGGUAGAAUUUGGGGCAUCUCAUGGGCCAUCGGAUGGCAUCAGACCAUGGUGGUUGCAGUGAAGAUAGGUCAGAGGGAAAGACUGAGAGCUGCUUUAAGAGGUGGAUUCUUAAACUUUUUGUGCGUGUUAUAGAUCCCUUUGGCAAUCUGGUAAAGCUUAUGAACCUCUUAGAAGAAUGUUUUUAGGGGGCAGCUGGAUGGCUCAGUGGAUUGAGAGCCGGACCCAGAGAUGAGAGGCUCUGGGUUCAAAUGUGACCUCAGACCUUCCUAGCUGUGUGACCCUGGGCAAGUCACUUAACUCCCAUUGCCUAGCCCUUACCACUCUUCUGUCUUAGAACCAAUACAUAACAUUGAUUCAAAGAUGCAAGGUAAGGGUUAAAAAAUAAAAAAAGAAGAAUGUCUU
ensembl:lncRNA